AUUGAACGCUGGCGGCAGGCCUAACACAUGCAAGUCGAGCGGAUGAAGGGAGCUUGCUCCUGGAUUCAGCGGCGGACGGGCGAGUAAUGCCUAGGAAUCUGCCUGGUAGUGGGGGAUAACGUCCGGAAACGGGCGCUAAUACCGCAUACGUCCUGAGGGAGAAAGUGGGGGAUCUUCGGACCUCACGCUAUCAGAUGAGCCUAGGUCGGAUUAGCUAGUUGGUGGGGUAAAGGCCUACCAAGGCGACGAUCCGUAACUGGUCUGGGAGGAUGAUCAGUCACACUGGAACUGAGACACGGUCCAGACUCCUACGGGAGGCAGCAGUGGGGAAUAUUGGACAAUGGGCGAAAGCCUGAUCCAGCCAUGCCGCGUGUGUGAAGAAGGUCUUCGGAUUGUAAAGCACUUUAAGUUGGGAGGAAGGGCAGUAAGUUAAUACCUUGCUGUUUUGACGUUACCAACAGAAUAAGCACCGGCUAACUUCGUG
rnacentral:rRNA from 1 species